AUUGAACGCUGGCGGCAUGCUUUACACAUGCAAGUCGAACGGCAGCGCGGGCUUCGGCCUGGCGGCGAGUGGCGAACGGGUGAGUAAUGCAUCGGAACGUGCCCAGUAGUGGGGGAUAGCCCGGCGAAAGCCGGAUUAAUACCGCAUACGACCUGAGGGUGAAAGCGGGGGACCGAAAGACCUCGCGCUAUUGGAGCAGCCGAUGUCGGAUUAGCUAGUUGGUGGGGUAAAGGCCUACCAAGGCGACGAUCCGUAGCUGGUCUGAGAGGACGACCAGCCACACUGGGACUGAGACACGGCCCAGACUCCUACGGGAGGCAGCAGUGGGGAAUUUUGGACAAAGGGGGCAAGCCUGAUCCAGCCAUGCCGCGUGCGUGAAGAAGGUCUUCGGGUUGUAAACCGCUUUUGGUCGGGAAGAAAUCCACUGAGCUAAUACCCCGGGGUUAUGACGGUACCGGAAGAAUAAGCACCGGCUAACUACGUG
rnacentral:rRNA from 1 species